CACCCAGCCAAUUUUCCUGAAUUAAAGUUUGGUUAAAGCUAGACGUACAUGGUGCAAUCACAUACAUAUUAUAGCAAGUUAUAAAAUGGGUGUCCUCUUAUACAUGAAGCACAUACAGUAUACAAACAUGAAUAGAAGUAGCUACAUACCUUUGGGGUAUAUUCUCUCAGGAAAGUGUAAGGACUUAAAAUGACAAGGAUUCCUCCUUCAGCAACCAAGUUACUUAACCUCAGCA